rnacentral:rRNA from 1 species
AUGCAACGGUCUGAUAUUGCUUUGUCUUUGCAGGCCAUGGCCGUACCGUUUGGAGGAGGAGCAGUGGCUGCUGCAGCUGUCGUGGCUGGCGGGGGAGAACCUUGGUACUGCCCAAAGUGUCGCCAUUACCUGAGAGGCAAUAAAGCAGAGCAUGAAAAGAAACAUGAGUACGAUAAAAAGAAGAAAGAAGAAUUCGUCCGCAAGACUAAGGAGGAGAACAUCAAGAAGAGUGGGAAAGCUGGUGGAAACAAGGGAUGUAACAAGGGCUCCAACUAUGGGAAGCUCAGCAAAAUUUGCAAGUAA